CGGAGAGGGCGCCUGAGAAACGGCUACCACUUCUAAGGAAGGCAGCAGGCGCGCAAAUUACCCAAUCCUGACUCAGGGAGGUAGUGACAAGAAAUAACAAUAAACCGGCUUAUGCCGGUUUAAUUGGAAUGAGUACAAUUUAAACAUCUUAACGAGGAACAAUUGGAGGGCAAGUCUGGUGCCAGCAGCCGCGGUAAUUCCAGCUCCAAUAGCGUAUACUAAAGUUGUUGCAGUUAAAAAGCUCGUAGUUGGAUUUCUGUGGGGACGGAGCGGCCGGACGCAACUUGCGUCUCGAGCUAGCGCUUUCCCCACAUCCUGCCGCGAACCGUGCUACCAUUAGUUUGGUGGCGCUGGGGAUCGGCUCGAUUACUUUGAGAAAAAUAGAGUGUUCAAAGCAGGCCACACGCCUUGAAUAAGUUAGCAUGGAAUAAUGACUAAGGACUUUGGUUCUUUUCGUUGGUGUUCGGGACUGAAGUAAUGAUUGAUAGGGACAGUUGGGGCGGUCCGUAUUCCAAAGCGAGAGGUGAGAUUCUUAGACCUUCGGAAGACGAACAGCUGCGAAAGCGUUCCGCAAGGAUGUUCCCUUUGAUCAAGAACGAAAGUUGGGGGAUCGAAGACGAUCAGAUACCGUCGUAGUCUCAACUAUAAACUAUACCAGCUAGGGAUCGGCCAACGUUUAAUUAUUCGACUUGGUCGGCACCUUAUGAGAAAUCAAAGCAUCUGGGUUCCGGGGGGAGUAUGGUCGCAAGGCUGAAACUUAAAGGAAUUGACGGAAGGGCACCACCAGGCGUGGAGCCUGUGGCUUAAUUUGACUCAACACGGGAAAACUUACCAGGUCCAGACAUAGGAAGGAUUGACAGAUUGAUAGCUCUUUCUUGAUUCUGUGGGUGGUGGUGCAUGGCCGUUUUUAGUCGGUGAAGUGAUUUGUCUGCUUAAUUGCGUUAACGGACGAGACCCCAGCCUGCUAAAUAGCGCGGCCGAGCUUUGCUCGGUACGAGCUUCUUAGAGGGACCAUGAUGCGCGAUAGCACAAGGAAGUUUGGGGCAACAACAGGUCUGUGAUGCCCUUAGAUGUUCUGGGCCGCACACGGGCUACACUGGCGCCUGCAACGAGCAUAUCAGCUGGCCCGAGAGGGACUUGGCUAAUCUUUUGAACCGGCGCCGUGCUUGGGAUUGACCUUUGCAAUUGUUGGUCAUGCAACGAGGAAUGCCUUGUAAACGCGAGUCAUCAGCUCGCAUUGAAUACGUCCCUGCCCUUUGUACACACCGCCCGUCGCUCCUACCGAUGAAUGUUCCGAUGAAAUUUUCGGAGAGUGCCUGUGAAGCAGGCUCCGCCUGUCGAACGGGAUGCUCAAAGUCACUUAAAUCUGAACAUUUCGAGGAAGGAGAAGUCGUAACAAGGUAAC
rnacentral:rRNA from 1 species